GAAUCCACUGUCUCCUGUGUGAGAUACGUUUCGACCCGGAGCUCCGCCAUUAAAAUACCUCGUGUUGUUACAUCAAGGUGUUGUGUUCUGUUCGUGGUUCUUGGGUGCAUGCCGAAUCAGGAGUUGAGUGGGGGUUUCCCCACUAGGUUCUUUCAUUUGGAGGUUCCACCGAGAUCUGCGUGACACCCAGGAACCCCGAAGGACCCCUUGGAGAUACGUUUGUUUGUGCUGCACCCCUGGGAGACAUUCCGAGGGAAACCCUGGAGGGAGUGCCCGGGGUACGGAACAGUCAGGAGGACCUGGCUGUUGCCUGGCAGAGUGAAGAAGAGUGAGUGCUCUUCCUGCCAGAGAAGGAGUGGACAUGGAAUCCCACUUUGUCAGAGACUCCUCACUCUGGAUCCAGGAAGGGAGGUGGUGUGAGACUCUCCUCUGUGACUGGAACAGGCAGACUGCUCCAACCCGAGAUCACAAGACACUAAGGAAAGACAGCUCUGGACUACCAAGGACAACAUUCUCAGACGUGUGGUGGCACACAACUUUGAGCCCAUCACUUGGAAGGUGGAGAUGGGAAGGUCAGGAGGUCAAGGUCAUCUUCAGCUAUAUAAGUUUGAGGCCUGACUGGGCAAAAUAAUACCCUGUCUCAAAUAAAAUAAAAUAAAAAACAA
rnacentral:lncRNA from 1 species